GGACGAACGCUGGCGGCGUGCUUAACACAUGCAAGUCGAACGGAAAGGCCCUGCUUUUGUGGGGUGCUCGAGUGGCGAACGGGUGAGUAACACGUGAGUAACCUGCCCUUGACUUUGGGAUAACUUCAGGAAACUGGGGCUAAUACCGGAUAGGAGCUCCUGCUGCAUGGUGGGGGUUGGAAAGUUUCGGCGGUUGGGGAUGGACUCGCGGCUUAUCGGCUUGUUGGUGGGGUAGUGGCUUACCAAGGCUUUGACGGGUAGCCGGCCUGAGAGGGUGACCGGCCACAUUGGGACUGAGAUACGGCCCAGACUCCUACGGGAGGCAGCAGUGGGGAAUAUUGCACAAUGGGCGGAAGCCUGAUGCAGCAACGCCGCGUGCGGGAUGACGGCCUUCGGGUUGUAAACCGCUUUCGCCUGUGACGAAGCGUGAGUGACGGUAAUGGGUAAAGAAGCACCGGCUAACUACGUG
rnacentral:rRNA from 1 species